rnacentral:lncRNA from 12 species
CCCCGGGGCCUUCCCCGGGAGGAAAAGGGAGAGGAAAGGUUCCCAGCCCGAGCCCCGCCGGGGAGGGCGCGGGGCGAGCCGCCCGCGCGGCGUGAAUUUCAGCAGGGGUGCGGCCGGAACAAUGGCCGGCCGGCGGGCGGCGCGCACCGCGCGCGGGGGGGGGAGGAGGCCCCCCGGGACUCCCCCCGAGGUGCCGGCGCCGAGGAAACCCCCCAUCUCGCGCUAACAAUACACGGAGCCGCAGGGACGCGGCCCCCGCCCGCAGACGCGCGGAGGCGCCCCGGCCCCGGUGUCGCGGGGGCGCGAAGGGGGGUCGCCCCGGGCCCCCUGCCCAUGCCCUUUCCCUUUCCCCUCCCUUCCCUUCCCCCACUUCGGGAUGGGUUCUCUACCCCCCCCCCCGACCCUCAUUUCCGGUUUCCUCACACGGUUCUCGUUUCCUAUCUUGCAGGCGACGUUUGUGACAGGCGUGUAGGUGCGGCGUCCCCUGAGCAUCACCUGGCCGCGGGUCCCGAGGCUCUCCGUGGGAACCGAGCCCAGAACAGCCCCUCUGAGCGCCUGGCACUGCCUUCCUUACCGCGCUCGGGAGGAGAUGAAGACUAGAGGUUAGAAGAGCCAGGAAGAGGAGGUCUCAGGAGCACAGCCCGGAGUAAUAAGACCUGAAGAGAAGAGAUACAAACUUUCGGCCUGUAGACUCUUAAAACUCAGCUUCUGAUGGGAUGCCAGUCAGUGUAGACAAGAGGGUAGAAGAUUUGCUUGUGGCUUAGAGCUUUGUUCACACUUGGGAGGAACAGAGGAAAGGAUACAAGUUGUUGAGUGGUGUUGACAAAGGAGGGUUUGGUUUUGGACUCUGUGGAAAGUUAACUUUUUAGGCACAAGCAGUGACACCCGCCCAGUUUGUAACUCUGCUUGAGAUCU